rnacentral:lncRNA from 1 species
AGUGGUGCAGAAGAGGCUUCACAUAGAAGGACUCUUCAUCUUUUAUACCCCAUAAUUUCCUCAUUUAUUUUAGGCAUGUGACAUUUAAGGAAUCGAUGAAAAUAAAGUAGUUAAGAGUCUUAAAAAAGAAAGACUCUUCCUCUUCUCGAUGCUAAAAAGAGGGUGGCGGCAUUUAAUUUAUGACAUGAAACUAGAGUAAUGUGGAGGUCUC